ensembl:lncRNA
AAACUAGUUCUGCUGACAGGCUUCACACACUCCUCUCAGAGGUUGGAUGAUAACAGCUCACACUGCAACGUGCACAAGUUCGCUUGGAUUAAAAACAAAAAACAAUCCUGAGAGGUGCUGACUGUGUCCACUCACACAUAUGGAAGCUGUGAUAGGACUUCUGCUUGUGUUGCUCCAAGUUUCAUUUGGUGUGGAAAAUCACUGUGAUGGCAGACAGAAUAACGCUCAGUGUUAUGCAGCUUUGGAUGGAUCUAUAUUCAUCAGGCUGAUGGACAGCGCUGUAGAAAAUCAUACAUACAUGUGGUCUAAAUAUAAAAGUAUAUUAUUGGUAGUGAAGAAUAAACAUGUUAUAAUGAAUACUUUAGAGAAGAGAGCAGAUUUUACUACACAAAAUGGUAUUUAUAGAAUAAAUCAACUAAAGUCGAGUGACAGUGGCCAGUAUCGACUUGAUGUUUUUGUAGAUGGGGGACAAAAAGAAGAACGGAAACUAAAUUUGUCUUUUCAAGGUCAGUUGUUUCUUUUUGGUUUGUCCAUAUAGAGUAAAGUGUACACUCAGAUUAUUUAUAAUCUGUAAACAAUCUCUUACACAGCUCCAGUAUCUUCUGUCCAGCUCGUCCCUACAUGUCUUUCUAUGGGGGAGAAGAAAGUUUCCUGCUCCUCUAAAGGGGACAGUCUUCUCUACAGCUGGACUCUGGAUGGACGCCCUCUGACAGACUCUGACCUCGUCCCAAAGGGCAGCAACACCAACAUUAUUCACCUGAAACUACAAACUGUAGGAAAACUGGUCUGUCAUGUCCAAAACAAAGUCAGCAAAAGCUCUGGUGAAGUGACGUUAACCACUUGUGGUGUGGAAAAUCACUGUGAUGGCAGACAGAAUAACGCUCAGUGUUAUGCAGCUUUGGAUGGAUCUAUAUUCAUCAGGCUGAUGGACAGCGCUGUAGAAAAUCAUACAUACAACUGGAAUAAAGAUAAAAGUAGAUUAUUGGUAGUGAAUAAUAAACGUGUUAUAACAAAUACUUUAGAGAAGAGAGCAGAUUUUACUACACAAAAUGGUAUUUAUAGAAUAAAUCAACUAAAGUCGAGUGACAGUGGCCAGUAUCGACUCGAAGUUUUUGUAGAUGGGGGAAAAAAAGAAGAAGAACGGAUACUAAAUUUGUCUGUUCAAGCUCCAGUAUCUUCUGUCCAGCUCGUCCCUACAUGUCUUUCUAUGGGGGAGAAGAAAGUUUCCUGCUCCUCUAAAGGGGACAGUCUUCUCUACAGCUGGACUCUGGAUGGACGUCCUCUGACAGACUCUGACCUCGUCCCAAAGGGCAGCAACACCAACAUUAUUCACCUGAAACUACAAACUGUAGGAAAACUGGUCUGUCAUGUCCAAAACAAUGUCAGCAAAAGCUCUGGUGAAGUGACGUUAACCACUUGUGGUUACAUCUUCAUAAACUGCACUUUGUCCAAUGGGACAGACAUAUUGCAGUGGGUGCUUGAGGCCACUAACACGUUGUGUGUUGACCCAACAACAGCCCCUAUGGGUGUGGAAAAUCACUGUGAUGGCAGACAGAAUAACGCUCAGUGUUAUGCAGCUUUGGAUGGAUCUAUAUUCAUCAGGCUGAUGGACAGCGCUGUAGAAAAUCAUAUAUACAUGUGGUUUAAAUAUACAAGUAAAUUAUUGGUAGUGAAUAAUAAACGUGUUAUAAUGAAUACUUUAGAGAAGAGAGCAGAUUUUACUACACAAAAUGGUAUUUAUAGAAUAAAUCAACUAAAGUCGAGUGACAGUGGCCAGUAUCGACUUGAAUAUUUUGUAGAUGGGGGAAAAAAAGAAGAACGGAAACUAAAUUUGUCUGUUCAAGCUCCAGUAUCUUCUGUCCAGCUCGUCCCUACAUGUCUUUCUAUGGGGGAGAAGAAAGUUUCCUGCUCCUCUAAAGGGGACAGUCUUCUCUACAGCUGGACUCUGGAUGGACGCCCUCUAACAGACUCUGACCUCGUCCCAAAGGGCAACAACACCAACAAUGUCCACCUGAAACUACAAACUAUAGGAAAACUGGUCUGUCAUGUCCAAAACAAAGUCAGCAAAAGCUCUGGUGAAGUGACGUUAACCACUUGUGGUUACAUCUUCAUAAACUGCACUUUGUCCAAUGGGACAGACAUAUUGCAGUGGGUGGUUGAGGACACUAACACGUUGUGUGUUGACCCAACAACAGCCCCUAUGGGUAAGGAGCCUCCCAUUGAUUCAGGGACUGUGGCUCUGAUUGGGAUUUCACUCUCUGCUCUGGUCUGUAUCCUCCUUUUGGCUUUAGUCGUGAUCUGUGUUCAGAAGAAAAAGCCAAACAAACCAAAAGAACCACAGGAUGACCAGGAAUUAACCUACGCGGCUGUCAAAGUGGUUCAGAGGCCAGGGACGCUAGAGGUGCACAGGUCAGAGGUGGAGGUGGAGUACGGCGAAGUCAAGUUUUCACAGCAACCUCGACAGAUUCAAGUACCGCCAGAUGACUGUGUGUAUGCCAGAGUCUAUAAAUGAAAACAGGGCGUGGCUCUUUUUAUCACAGACAGAGGGCACGACAUGAUCUCAGGUUGCUUGAAGGGCUUCCCUGUUUAAUGAUGAAAAAUCUGGGUGUCACCGUUGAGAGGACUCCAAACCCACAUCAAUAAUACUUUUUACCCCCUCUACCACUGCCAUUCUUGUACAUACUCUUGUCAAUCACUGAAACUCCUGAAACGCCAAUGUCCAGAAUUAGAGUUACCUGCUCCACUGAUGUUCUUUAAAAAUUUGCAUCAACUACAAAAUCCUCCUUCUGACAUUUAAGGUCAUCUUAAGGUCAUCUUCAAUGUCACCCCUCUAUAUCAGUCCAGACUGACCCACACCAUCAGCUCACUAAUGUUAUUCAAAAUGAAGCUAAAAACCCAUCUGUUCAGGAUGGCCUUUCUCUCUGGGAUCACAACUGCUGUAUCUAAUCUUGAUAUGUUGAAUGUAAUGUUCUUGCACUGCCUUUUCACAAUAAUUUUAUUGUAAACAUUCCAUGUAUAGUGACCCUAAGUGCUAGAAAGAAGCCUUUUAUGAAAAUAAUGACAAUAAUAAUGUAAUGAAAAGGAUGUGAAUAUUGUUUUUGUUUGUAUUCCUUAAUAAUUGUUUUUGGUUUAAUUUAAACCACACCCAUGGGAGGGGCUAACCUGUUAAAAGCAGUGUAGGAAACUGCAUAGAGGGCAGUCUUUCUCUGGAGGUGCAUGUGGGAGCAAUGUACCUGAGCAUUUCUGAAAGCCUCUCAGCUGAAAGUAGAGCUGGGACCAGGUUGUGUUUUUUUUUUUUUUCUCUUGAUGUAAAUAUUUGUGUUCCACUGUAAAUAUUGAGCACCGGCACCAUUUUUGGAAAAAUAAAUGAAAGUCGACUUGCCA